UACGUAGGAUGCAAGCGUUAUCCGGAAUUACUGGGCGUAAAGCGUCCGCAGCUGGAUAUGUAAGUCUGUUUUCAAAGACCUCGUCUCAACCGAGGGAAGGGAAUAGAUACUGCAUGUCUAGAGGUUUUUAGAGGUUAGUGGAAUUUCCGGUGGAGCGGUGAAAUGCGUAGAUAUCGGGAGGAACACCUGUGGCGAAAGCGGCGCACUGGACCACAACUGACGCUGAGGCGCGAAAGCUAGGGGAGCAAACAGG
rnacentral:rRNA from 1 species